AUAAUACUCCCUUCGUCCGAAAAAGCUUGUCCCAAGUUUGUCUUUUAAAUGGAUGUAUCUAGCACUAACUUGGUGCUAGAUACAUCCGUUUGAGGGACAAACUUUUGCGGACAGAGGGAGUAUUUU
rfam:Triticum urartu cultivar G1812 contig765810, whole genome shotgun sequence.